rnacentral:lncRNA from 1 species
AUUAAAAUAUUCUUAUCGUUUUUUUAUGUCAACGAAAUAGUCCCUCCUCAUCGUUUCUUUCUGUCAACGAAAUCAUCCCUCCCUAUAUUUUUAGAAAUCUAUUAAAACGUCCUUAUUGUUUCUUUUUGUCAACCAAAUAGUCCCUAUCUUUUCUCAGAUCUAUUAAAACGUCCUUAUCGUUUCUUUUUGUCAACGAAAUAGUCCCUGUCUUUUCUUUCGUCCUCCUCCUCCU